CUCAUACAGUGCAAGCAGGACCAUCAGUUCUCUCUGGGGUUUGCUGUGCAAACUCCAGCUCUCCAUGCAAAAGGAAAUGAGUGCAGAUGGCCACCUCUUCCAAAUGGCUUGUUAACUCCAUCCUGAUCAUUUGAUUGCAGUGUCCACUGCUGCUGCCCAUAGUACGUCCAUCACGACCACUGCCAGCGAGACAACAGUGUUGAAUGCUACUGCCGUUCCUGAUGCAUCUACCUCAGUCACUCCAAUCAAUGCAACUGCAUCUAAUUAUUCAAGCUUAUCAUCAACUACAGCCUUUCCACAAAACGGUAAGCAUCCCACUUCCUGUCCAAUUUUGCUCUGUUUCUUAUGCUGCAACAGUCUUACUCAAGUCUCCCCUAAUGGAUGUGUUAAUGUCAAAUGAGUGAACCUCGCAAGAGAAACACAGAAGAUAACGACGGACAUUAUUGCUGAAAAAUGGAACAGAGCUGUUUCUCUCGUUUCAGUAUCUAACUCCACCAUUUCAAACACUGAAACUGCUGAAAAUCUGUCUGCUUCAGCCAUGCCUUCUAACACAACAGAGUCCAGUGCUGUUACAGUUGCAACAAAUGUGUCCACAGUUGGCAAUGGGCAGAACAUCACAGUGCAUAACUCCACCGCUGGGUUUCUGAAUGUCUCCACGCCAGUCACUCCUACAGUCACUGCUACAACAGGUACGCACAAACCUACAGCCCAGGCUUGGAAAAAACUCAAGGGGAAACCAUUCUUUGUGUCUU
rnacentral:lncRNA from 1 species